rnacentral:rRNA from 1 species
UUCCGGUUGAUCCUGCCAGAGGCCACUGCUAUCGGAGUUCGAUUAAGCCAUGCGAGUCGAGAGGUGCAAGACCUCGGCAUACUGCUCAGUAACACGUGGACAAUCUAACCUAUGGAAGGGGAUAACCCCGGGAAACUGGGGAUAAUACCCUAUAGACUAUGAAUGCUGGAAUGCUUUGUAGUCCAAAGGUCAGCCGCCAUAGGAUGGGUCUGCGGCCGAUUAGGUUGUUGUUGGGGUAACGGCCCAACAAGCCUGUAAUCGGUACGGGUUGUGGGAGCAAGAGCCCGGAGAUGGAUUCUGAGACACGAAUCCAGGCCCUACGGGGCGCAGCAGGCGCGAAAACUUUACAAUGCGGGAAACCGUGAUAGGGGAACUCCGAGUGCCCGUUAAAUCGGGCUGUCCAUCAGUUUAAAUAACUGGUGAAGAAAGGGCCGGGCAAGACCGGCGCCAGCCGCCGCGGUAAUACCGGCGGCUCGAGUGGCGGCCACUAUUACUGGGCUUAAAGCGUUCGUAGCUGGUUUGUUAAGUCUCUGGGAAAUCUUCCGGCUUACCCGGAAGGCGUUUCA